UCUCCUUUAUCACUAAUUCAAGACCAUACAUUAUGGUUGUAAGUAAACGGCGCCCAUCUUGUCUUCCUUGUUCCUUAUUCUCCACACACCUAAGAUGCGUCUCUAUCCCCUGUUUCCUCUGUUUUUGUGAGAGAGAAAAAUGGAGUUUGAUCAAAGAAAACUACCAAGAUCAAGAAUGAACUCGUAUGCAAACUACAAGAUUCAAUUAGUAAAAGGGGAAAAACAUGAUUUAGGUCCUCCAAUACCACCUUCUCCACAAGUUCUCGAUAACCUAAACCGACAUAAUGGAAGCGGAACCAGCUUCAUCAUCAUGGCUUGUGUGUUUGGUGGUGCAGUUCUUUUGGGAAUCCUAUGCCUAGUUUCAAGACUUUGCUACAACAGGCAUCAAAAUUCAAGAAGGUCAAGAAGUCUACCAGUAUUUUUUGGUACCCAAGAGGAUUUUCUUGAUGAAGAUCAAGGAACAGAAAUCAACCAUCACAUAUGGUACAUCAACUUCUCAGGUCUCCAACAAUCUGUGAUCGACUCAAUAACAGUCUUCAAGUUUAAGAAAGACGAAGGGCUGAUUGAUGGUACAGAGUGCUCUGUUUGCUUGAGUGAAUUUCAAGAAGAUGAGAGUCUGAGACUUUUACCAAAGUGUAGCCAUGCUUUUCACAUGCCUUGUAUUGAUACAUGGUUAAGAUCACACAAGAAUUGCCCUCUUUGUCGUGCCCCGGUUGUAGCCGACAAUUUUGAUGCUCAAGUUGCUUUAACGGUGUCUACUACAGGUGAUUUGAGUUCGAGGGAAGAACCCCAGAUGGAAAAUUCUGAGAAUAAUACUCCCAGUGGACUAAUGAGCAGUAACCAUGCAGGAGAAGAUGGAAGCAGUGAAGUGAGAAAUGGAGAAGAAACCAUCUGUGGAUUACCAGUUGUAGAUGAAUCAAAUGCUGGAAACUCUAGCUGGAAUUCGAACCACUUUAUAUCGAGGAAUCCUCGGAUACGAAGUGAUUUAGUUGACAAAUUGGUUGUGGUAGAAGAAGAAAUGCAACCUGUGAGGAGGUCUGUGUCAUUGGAUUUCUCUACAGCUUCUGCAAUUUAUAGUGUGCUUGCUAAUGUUGCUCCUGGUAAAUGUCAAGCUAACUCGGAUAGUUUAUUGGUGCAACCAAAGCAGCCGAAAUCGAAGAACGCUGCGAAGAGGGGAGGUAGUGGCUUUCACAAGCUGAUGAAAAAUUCUUCUACAAGACGUUCAUUGCAGAAGGGGCCAAUUUCAAUGAAAAGAUCUUUGUCAAGUAGUGGGAAAUCCUUGUCAUCAAGAUGCAGCAGAAGCCAGAACACAAUCCACUCUUUCUGAUUUGCAGUGUUGUCUCACCAUAUCAUGUUAGUGAACUGCAGAAUCAAGAAGCCUAGAAUAUAUACUUAUCUUGUUUUAAUUUCGCACUGAGUUAAAUAUUGAUAAAAUCAUAAAGUGAAGUUUGAAUAUUUACGGACACUGGGAAGUCUUGAUCUGAAAUGUAGUUUUGGUUUUAUGUUCAUGUUCGCUGUUGCUCUGGUGGUUUUGGGACUCAGAUUCCUGCUGGUCAAGUUUUUGGAAGCUCAAUUUCUGGUCAUGUUUACUUCCAUUUUGGUGUCUCACACCACCUUCCAUCUGGGCUUUUGUUACUUGCGUUGUAUUCCUGAUGAACUGCCUUUUGUGUGCUUUUCCUUUUUGGUUCCUUUGAAUGAAUAAGUUUCUCUCUAUAUUGAAAUAGAAAAGAAGUCCUUUAGACUGGACCUCUAACAUUGCCUUAAACUGUUCCAGAAUAUUUAUCAGAAGCAUGUAUGCAGUAGCUUCACUCUUGGUUGUCGGUGGUGAUGACUGAA